rnacentral:rRNA from 1 species
GAUGAACGCUGGCGGCGUGCUUAACACAUGCAAGUCGAACGAGAGAAGAUCGGUGCUUGCACUGAUCCGAUCGAGUGGCGGACGGGUGAGUAACGCGUGGGUAACCUGCCUCAUACAGGGGAAUAACAGUUGGAAACGGCUGCUAAAACCGCAUAAGCGCACAGUAUCGCAUGAUACAGUGUGAAAAACUCCGGUGGUAUGAGAUGGACCCGCGUCUGAUUAGCUAGUUGGUGAGGUAACGGCCCACCAAGGCAACGAUCAGUAGCCGGCCUGAGAGGGUGAACGGCCACAUUGGGACUGAGACACGGACCCAA